GUAGGUGGCGAGCGUUGUCCGGAAUUACUGGGUGUAAAGGGCGUGUAGGCGGGUUAUUAAGUCAGAUGUGAAAUUCCAAGGCUCAACCUUGGCGCUGCAUCUGAAACUGAUAAUCUUGAGUGCUGGAGAGGGAAGCGGAAUUCCCGGUGUAGUGGUGAAAUGCGUAGAUAUCGGGAGGAACACCAGUGGCGAAGGCGGCUUCCUGGCCCGUUCUUGACGCUGAGGCGCGAAAGCUAGGGGAGCAAACGGGAUUAGAUACCCCGGUAGUCCUAGCCGUAAACGAUGGACACUAGGUGUUGGUGGUAUCAACCCCGCCAGUGCCGAAGCUAACGCAUUAAGUGUCCCGCCUGGGGAGUACGGCCGCAAGGCUA
rnacentral:rRNA from 1 species